rnacentral:rRNA from 1 species
UACGGGGGGUGCGAGCGUUGUCCGGAAUCACUGGGCGUAAAGGGCGCGUAGGUGGUCUGAUAAGGGUGUGGUGAAAGCCCGGGGCUCAACCCCGGGUCGGCCGUGCCGACUGUUAGACUAGAGUGCUGUAGGGGCAGGCGGAAUUCCAGGUGUAGCGGUGAAAUGCGUAGAUAUCUGGAGGAACACCGGUGGCGAAGGCGGCAUCCUGGACCAUUACUGACGCUGAGUGAGCGAAAGCCAGGGGAGCAAACGGG